UGGAGGUGAUGAACCGUCUUAGCCUGACUUUGUGAAGUGGAGGCAAAAAAACUGAUUUAAUGAGCCUGAUCC